GACAUCUCCAAUCAUAUGCUUCACAGCCAUGGAGAGAGAAGCAGAGCUACUUCAGGCAUUAAGCAUAUUACCAAAGGGAUUGUUUAGAGCCAGGCCUAUUUUGAUUCAUAGGUUUGUUCUCCUGUGAAUCAGAGCCUGGCCUGGAUAAGUUAUAAAAUAUUUUGACCAUCACUCCUGGAAAGAGAGUAUCAUUAGCAAUCAUCAAGCAAAUGUCUAGGAUUUUAACCUGACUGCCAUAUCCUAAGUUACCCAUGCCAAUCCCCAUGGUCAGGGCGGGGGCCAGUUAGGAUUGCCCCAGGUGGCUUAGAACAGUCAGGACCUCCCCUAAAACUGGGGUUCUGCUCACGACCUCCCCUAAAACUGAGUUCUGCUCAGACUGUGUGGUUACUGCACCAUGGAUGGUAGCAACAAUUUGGGGGUUGUGUCCAGGGGUGCAACUAAAAUGUGUCUUUUUAUCUUUCCCACUUCCCUCUCUCACUCUUCUUCACUUCUACAUUUGCACUUCUGAUGCACGACCUUGCAAAGUGUUUUCGCUUUCCGCCACUGUAACAAAACACCUGAGGGAAUCAACUCAAAAGGAGAAGAGAUUUCCUUUGACUUAUGGUUUUAGAGGUUUCAGUCCAUGUUUAUGGCCCUGCUGUGUUGGGCUUGUGGCACAUAGGACAUCAUGGCCCGAGCACUUGGUAGAGGAGGCCUGUUUACCUCACGGGGUCCAGGAAACACAAAUAUAUAGAGAUGAAGAGAUAAAGAGAUAGGGAGAAAGAGGGUGAGCACACGCACCUUGGUGUCCCCAUAUCCUUUCAAGGACAUGCCCCCAGCAACCAUCUUCCUCCAACGAGGUCCCAUCUCCUCAAGGUUCUACCACCAUCCAGCAGCACCAUAGGCUGUGGCCAAGCCUUCAAUACACGAGACUUUGGGGACAUUUAAGAUCCUUCAGCACAAAGGUUACCUCCCACCUUAAUAUUCUGUUGAGCACCCUUUUAGUUUAGGUUAGCGGUAUUGUCUGGGGGCUCCUACCACUGUCUAGAUUUCCACCCUCCAUUUCUAGUCCUUCAUGAAUGUCCUUCUGAAUCUGUGGACAAGGAGAAGUAGAAACCCAGGUAUGGGCACUGCCGGUUUGCAGCAUCUCCUGGGCUGAGCAGCGAGGGG
rnacentral:lncRNA from 1 species